AGAAUCAACGCUGGCGGCGUGCCUAACACAUGCAAGUCGAACGAGAAAGUGGAGCAAUCCAUGAGUAAAGUGGCGCACGGGUGAGUAACACGUGACUAACCUACCCUUGAGUGGGGGAUAACCUAGGGAAACCUGGGCUAAUACCGCAUAAUACCUUCGGGUCAAAGGAGCAAUUCGCUUUAGGAGGGGGUCGCGGCCGAUUAGUUAGUUGGCGGGGUAAUGGCCCACCAAGACUGUGAUCGGUAUCCGGCCUGAGAGGGCGCACGGACACACUGGAACUGAAACACGGUCCAGACUCCUACGGGAGGCAGUAGUGGGGAAUUUUGCGCAAUGGGGGAAACCCUGACGCAGCAACGCCGCGUGGAGGAUGAAGCCCCUUGGGGCGUAAACUCCUUUCGAUCGGGAAGAUAAUGACGGUACCGAGAGAAGAAGCCCCGGCUAACUUCGCGCCAGCAGCCGC
rnacentral:rRNA from 1 species